rnacentral:lncRNA from 1 species
GCAACUAUAUAAAAUCAUAUUUCAACACAACUUUUUACAAGAUGGUCAUGGGCAAGAUCCGCGUGUGCCUAGAGCUCUCCAUCGUCAUUCCAGUACAACCGACAACUUAGAGCAAUGACUGGUUUAUCUCGGUUAUAGUGCACUUAACUUCAUUGCAACAUCGUUGACAUCUUGUUGGCAACAAAGAAGCACAUUCGGAUUUUGUUGCAGGUUUCUAUACAUUGGAAGUAUUAUGUGAGAAAUAAGGAAGCACAUAGUUGUUUUUUUAAGCGUAAGCACCUACUUCUAGGAAAGAAACAAAUUUGUCAAGCUAAUUGUGAACAUUCGACACAACCUAUCUGGAGUUCUGGAUUGAAGUACAACACAGAAAGCAUUGGUAUUUGCGAGCAUCAAUUUUUGCUAUCUCACGUCAAACAUGAGUAUAAAAAAUGGAAGCAUGGUUUAAAUGCCGGAAACUCUAUGAAAUGCAGAAGCACGAAUAUUUAUGGGAUCAUUCCAAAUAAUUCAACAUAAUAGAAAGAAGAGAUGCCAAACCUGAAAAGUGUAGUUGUACUGCCAAUCCAUGUGCACGUACAAGCACUUUUGGAUAAAAAUGAAGUAUCAAAUGUCUGUAGGAUUUUUUUUGCAAUAACAACACAUGCGAGGCCUAUCAGAAGCAUACAAAUGACAACCUAUCGGAUCUUCGGCAUGCACUCUGCUUCAGAUGAUUCAGAUUGUAUAUUGUUCAGAAGCAUCUAUAUUGCCAUUUGGAUGCUGCAUAAAAAGAAGCACAUGGACAUGGUAACUUGGGAUGGGAGCAUGGAAAUUUGAAAAAUUAACGAAAAUUAAUAUUAUGAUAAAGGUCGAGAUGCAUACAAUUAUGAAGCAUAUGCAUAUUAUAGUGUAAAACCGCAAAUGGUUAAAAAUCAUGAACAACAAGGUGUAGUUACAUAAAUACUAAUGAGUGGAAGCAUGAAUAUCCGAAGAAAAAAAUCCUAAAUGUUGUCUCUUUGCAUAUGUGAAAACAUGUAUGCAUUGUUUCUCGAAAAAGAAUUCACGCAUGUGACAUGUAUUGCUGACAUAGAUGAGAAAUAAAGAGAUCAUGUAGCAAUAGAAACUCUGUACCAUAGAAGCACAUAUACCAAAUAGAAAAACAUGGAUGUUGUGCUACAAGACAUGUGUAUAUCAAAAGCAUGCAACUUAGGUUAGAGAAAGCAAUAAUUUUAUAUUAUCUCGACAUAUUUAAGAUCACUCGUCAACAUAAAAAAAUGAUUUCAUAAUAUGACCCACCUACCGGAGAACAUGUGCACAUUGAAAUUUUGGAGGCACACUACAGAACUAAGAAUCACGAACAUACUAGUUUGGGUACACGAUAAACUUGUAUGGAAGCAUGGAAUUCUGAAAUCAUGUCAAAAACUAAAAUUACCGCCAUGAUUGAGAAUCAUAUUAUUGUGAUCUGCAUAAGAGAUUAACCAAAAUUGUCAAAUGACAUAGCAAUCAACACAUCAAAGCAAGCAUGGAGAUACACUCACAAAAUUCAUCGAAGCAAGCAUUGCAUCGAAAGUAACGCAAAUCAAAUCAAUACAUCAAAAAUGAAUCAUACCUAAUUUAUGUUACCGCAGUGCAACUUAUUUGCCGAGCCAAGGCAUAGCAGGGUGGUGUGGUAGGGUUUGAUGACGGGCCAGGCUCUGGCGGGGAACUGGACCGGUGACGAGGGUGACGCGAUCGACGGUGAAAGUAGCGUUCGACGGAGCAGAUAAGGGCGGGACGGCGCACCACCGUGUGCAUCACUUGUACCCGUCGGGAGUUGCUGGUGUACAACAGGUUGGUGGCGG